rnacentral:tRNA from 1 species
UGGCUCAGGCAGUAGAGCGUGGUGUUUGCAACGCCAGAGUUGUGGGUUUGAUUCCCAC